rnacentral:rRNA from 1 species
CGGACGGGUGAGUAAUGUCUGGGAAACUGCCUGAUGGAGGGGGAUAACUACUGGAAACGGUAGCUAAUACCGCAUAACGUCGCAAGACCAAAGAGGGGGACCUUAGAGCCUCUUGCCAUCGGAUGUGCCCAGAUGGGAUUAGCUAGUAGGUGGGGUAACGGCUCACCUAGGCGACGAUCCCUAGCUGGUCUGAGAGGAUGACCAGCCACACUGGAACUGAGACACGGUCCAG